AAGUCUGCAUUUUCAGGGAUCACUUCUACAGUUCAUUCCUGGAGAGGUUUCUCUACACAUGUAAGGCACCGGAAAGCACGAGGAGGAGGCACAGCACUCUCUCCUGAGCGUGAACCUAGCCUUUGAAAUUGCUUCCCUGCAACUGCCAUUUGCCAUUGAUGACAUGCCUCCUCCUCCAGAGGAGCUAGAGGGAGAGAAUGCAGUCUGGGUGGC
rnacentral:snoRNA from 1 species